CGUGUAGGCGGUUGGUCCAGUCGGAUGUGAAAGCCUGGGGCUCAGCCCCAGAAGUGCAUCCGAAACUAGCCAGCUAGAGCGCGAUAGAGGAGGGUGGAAUUCCUGGUGUAGCGGUGAAAUGCGUAGAUAUCAGGAGGAACACCGGCGGCGAAGGCGGCCCUCUGGAUCGUUGCUGACGCUGAGACGCGAAAGCGUGGGGAGCAAACAGGAUUAGAUACCCUGGUAGUCCACGCCUUAAACGAUGGGUACUAGGUGUUCGGGGUGUUGACCCCCUGAGUGCCGCAGUUAACGCAUUAAGUACCCCGCCUGGGGACUACGGCCGCAAGGUUAAAA
rnacentral:rRNA from 1 species